rfam:Pilibacter termitis strain ATCC BAA-1030 genome assembly, contig: EI49DRAFT_scaffold00008.8
UCCGUUUUUCAACCGCACCGAGUAGGUUUUAAGUGCUAAGCCACCUAUGAAGGCGAGUCUAAAUCAAAUU